rnacentral:rRNA from 1 species
UACGAGGGGGGCGAGCGUUGUUCGGAAUCACUGGGCUUAAAGGGUGCGUAGGCUGCGCGGAAAGUUGGGUGUGAAAUCCCUCGGCUCAACCGAGGAACUGCGCCCAAAACUGCCGUGCUCGAGGGAGACAGAGGUGAGCGGAACUUAGGGUGGAGCGGUGAAAUGCGUUGAUAUCCUAAGGAACACCGGUGGCGAAAGCGGCUCACUGGGUCUCUUCUGACGCUGAGGCACGAAAGCUAGGGUAGCGAACGGG